rnacentral:rRNA from 1 species
GAGACUCUGUGCGCGUGCAUAUCAAUAAGCGGAGGAAAAGAAACUAACAAGGAUUCCCUUAGUAACGGCGAGUGAAGCGGGAAGAGCUCAAAUUUGAAAUCUUCAAGGUUUUACCUUGACGAAUUGUAGUUUAAAGAAGUGUUUUCUGUUGAAGUUUUGGUAAAAGUUCUUUGGAAUAGGACAUCAUAGAGGGUGAGAAUCCCGUAUUUGACCAUUAUUUUCAGCUGUGUGAUACACUUUCAAAGAGUCGGAUUGUUUGGGAAUGCAGUCCAAAAUGGGUGGUAAAUUUCAUCUAAAGCUAAAUAUUGGCGAGAGACCGAUAGCGAACAAGUACCGUGAGGGAAAGAUGAAAAGAACUUUGAAAAGAGAGUUAAACAGUACGUGAAAUUGUCAAAAGGGAAGCGUUUGACACCAGUGUUGUUUUCUCGAAAAUCAAUUAAAAAGAGUUGGAUUUUGUGUUGUAUUGACCUUAAUAGCUUUCUUCACUCUUUUCCUGCUUUUUUUAAUGCACUUUUCGUUUAACAAGUCAGCAUCAGUUUCUUUUGUUGUAAAAGGGUCAUUGGAAGGUGGCUUUCUCUUCGGAGAAAGUGUUUAUAGCCUUUGAUCUCUGCAAUCGGAGAGACUGAGGUCUGCAGCGUAGAUCCUUCGGGGUUAGAUACAUUUGUGCUAAGUCUACACUUUUCAUAGACAACUUGUUGACUAUGUUUAGUCAUUGUAGCUUACCUCGCUUAUGCUAUUUUACCUACGCUUAGGAUGUUGAAUCUGUGCGAGACUAC